CCUACGGGAGGCAGCAGUCGAGAAUCAUUCACAAUGGGGGAAACUCUGAUGGUGCGACGCCGCGUGGGGGAAUGAAGGUCUUCGGAUUGUAAACCCCUGUCAUGUGGGAGCAAAUUAAAAAGAUAGUACCACAAGAGGAAGAGACGGCUAACUCUGUGCCAGCAGCCGCGGUAAUACAGAGGUCUCAAGCGUUGUUUGGAAUCACUGGGCGUAAAGCGUGCGUAGGCUGUUUCGUAAGUCGUGUGUGAAAGGCGCGGGCUCAACCCGCGGACGGCACAUGAUACUGCGAGACUAGAGUAAUGGAGGGGGAACCGGAAUUCUCGGUGUAGCAGUGAAAUGCGUAGAUAUCGAGAGGAACACUCGUGGCGAAGGCGGGUUCCUGGACAUUAACUGACGCUGAGGCACGAAGGCCAGGGGAGCGAAAGGGAUUAGAUACCCGAGUAGUC
rnacentral:rRNA from 1 species